GAAAUCUGUUCAACAAAGCUUGUGUCAAUAAGCAGACAUCUUACGUGACACUGACCAAACAAGUUGACAAUGCAGCAAAAUCAAACAUAACAAGAGUGUAUUUGUAGCUUCUCCACUUUCAUACAACUAAUAUAGCCAAAAAUCUAAAUGGAAAGAGUAUGAAAGUUUAUAAAAACUACUACAAGCUAAAAAUAUGAAAUAAGAGAACUACAGAAACUUCAAACAGGCCUUUCCAACAAAAU
rnacentral:misc_RNA from 1 species